AUGAAUAAGGAUCGGCUAACUCCGUGCCAGCAGCCGCGGUAAUACGGAGGAUCCGAGCGUUAUCCGGAUUUAUUGGGUUUAAAGGGAGCGUAGGCGGACGCUUAAGUCAGUUGUGAAAGUUUGCGGCUCAACCGUAAAAUUGCAGUUGAUACUGGGUGUCUUGAGUACAGUAGAGGCAGGCGGAAUUCGUGGUGUAGCGGUGAAAUGCUUAGAUAUCACGAAGAACUCCGAUUGCGAAGGCAGCCUGCUGGACUGCAACUGACGCUGAUGCUCGAAAGUGUGGGUAU
rnacentral:rRNA from 1 species